GACAGAGGCCCCAAGCGUUAGGCGGAAUCACUGGGCUUAAAGCGUGUGUAGGCGGACGCCUAAGUGUCUUGUGAAAUCCCACGGCUCACCCGUGGAACUGCUGGGCAUACUGGGCGUCUUGGGCCAACUAGGGGCAGCCGGAACAAGCGGUGGAGCGGUGAAAUGCGUAGAUAUCGCUUGGAACGCCGAAGGUCGAAAACAGGCUGCUGGGGUUGCGCCGACGCUGAGACACGAAAGCCAGGGGAGCAAACGGG
rnacentral:rRNA from 1 species